GGAAAAAUAAAGUGGCAGCAUCCAACUUAACCUCUAGCAUUUGGCCGAUUCGGCCGUCCGAAUCGAAACCCAUACCAAAUAUUUAAUAUUUUUCUUUUUUGUAAAAAAGCGAGAACAUCGUUCUCUAUAUUAACGCUAGCAUCCUCUUCUGUGUCUCUCUGUCAAUUUGUCACUUUUGUGUUCUAUUAGGACUCCAUAAAUUUGAUUUGAUUGGAGAGAGCAGCAUGAAGCGCUACAGGAAUGGUGAAAUCUGGGACUUCGAACACGAAAUUGCGGUGCCCGGUGACCGCCCGGUGAUUUUAGGAUUGGACGGUGGAACAACAUCCACCGUAUGUAUAUGCAUGCCGGUUCUACCUGUCUCCAAUCCUCUUCCGGACCCACUUCCUGUGCUUGCCCGUGCCGUCGCCGGUUGCUCAAACCACAACAGUGUCGGUGAAACUGCUGCUAGAGAAACAUUGGAGCAAGUUAUGGCGGAUGCCCUUUCAAAAUCAGGUUCCAAUCGUUCUGCAGUUCAAGCUGUUUGUCUAGCAGUUUCAGGUGUUAAUCAUCCAACAGAUGAGCAAAGAAUUUUAAAUUGGCUUAGGGAUAUAUUCCCGAGCCAUGUGAAGCUAUAUGUCCAAAAUGAUGCUGUGGCAGCAUUGGCAAGUGGAACAAUGGGAAAGCUUCAUGGCUGCGUUUUAAUUGCUGGUACGGGCACUAUUGCUUAUGGAUUCACAGAAGAUGGCAGAGAAGCUCGGGCUGCAGGUGCUGGACCCAUCUUAGGUGAUUGGGGAAGUGGAUAUGGAAUAGCUGCGCAAGCAUUAACGGCAGUUGUAAGAGCUCAUGAUGGUCGUGGUCCUGAAACAAGUCUCACACGUAGUAUUUUACGGACUCUUGGUCUUCGUUCUCCAGAUGAACUUAUUGGGUGGACAUAUGCAGAUCCAUCUUGGGCUCGUAUUGCAGCUCUCGUUCCAGUCAUUGUAUCUUGUGCGGAGGAAGGUGAUGAAGUAGCAGAUAAAAUCUUGCAAGAUUCAGUUGAAGAGUUGGCUUUAAGUGUGAAAGCCGUUGUCCAAAAACUUGGCUUGUGUGGCGAAGGUAUGGUAAUUCAUGCUAGAAUUAAAGUAGAAAUUAGUUCUUUUCACUUGGCCUGUUGACCUCAAAAAACUUCUGAUUAUUCAGUUCCUCAUGGUCAUGGAUGUUACUUCAUAAAGUAAAAUAUUGGUAUAAUUUUGCUGGUAUUUGGUGAAACACAAGCUCAUUCAAGCUAGGUAAUUAAAUUAAUGGUAUAUAUUUAUGUUGUAUAUAUUGAAAGGUAGAUAAUGUGGAUGUACAUGGUGAUUUAAGUUUAUUUUUAUUUGGAUUACAUUUUUGGCCUUGCUAAUCAGAUCGAUUUUUAGCAUAUAGUGCAUGAAUUAUUAUGAUUUAGAUGUUCCCUCUACAUGGCUUUUACACGUCCCUGGACAGUGAACACCAAUAACAUGGAGCGAUUACAUUUUAGGAAUACAGUUAGUAUGCACUUGAAAGCAAUUAUGGGUAGCUACUUAUUCUUUUAUUGUUGUUCUACCCAUUUUCCUUUGAAGUUUUGGUCUUCUUUUAUGCUUAUGUGAUACUGUUGCAGAUGGAAAUGCUUCUUUUCCCCUUGUUAUGGUUGGUGGUGUUCUUGAAGCAAAUAAGACAUGGGAUAUAGGAAAAGAGGUUGUAAACUGCAUCUCCAGAGACUACCCAGGGGCUCGUCCAAUUUGGCCAAAGGUAUCCAUAAUUUACUUUCUUUCCACUGUAAGUUUUUUUUCUUGAACAACUGUUCAGGUUCAUUCUUCUGUAUAAUUGACUUCAUUGACACUAAUUGAACCAAGCUUGGCUGUGGACAUUAGCGGCCUAAAAGAAACUAUAUUAAGUGCACUUUUAUGAAUGAAGAUUGAUUGAAUUAGUAUUUAGUAGUAAUAAUUUGUUGGAAAUAUUAAUUGGUAUUUUCUAGUCUUUAAGACUUGUAUUAGGGGGAAAAGAAAGUAUAACCCCAAGGAAUCCGGAAAAGGAAAAAGAAGAGUAUAAAAGGGUAUUUACUAGCAAUGUGCCAUGUCAGCACCUGUAUGUGGUGUCAAAUAUGUAAGGGUUGCCAUAUAUUAGCAGACAUGGGCAAAUAAGCUAGUCCAGAAAACAAAUGGAGAAGGUUUCUCGUAUCAUUGUUGAUGGAGGUUGGUGAAGAAGCUAGUUGAUAAGAGUAGGAUUUGUUAGACAUAUGGAAUGCUAGGAUUGUAACAAGUUGAUGGAACUACUAGCCACAAUAGGUUGUAGAAGAGUUAACAUUGCUUGCAUCUAGGAGACUGAAUGGAUAGGAAAGGAAAGAAAAGAGAUUGGAAAUACAGACAAAUAAAUUAUGGUUUACAGAGAAGGUGAAGAAUGAUUUGAACUGUUUAGAAUUGGAUGAAGAUGAAGUUGUUUAAAGGAGUUGAACAGUUCAGAAUUAGGUGAAGGUGAAGUUGUUUGUGAUUAACUAAUGUUAUAUAUGGAAGAGUAGUGGCCAUUCCACAUACUGCGUGCAUGUAUGAAUUCCUUUUGGGUGUGCAAGAAAAAAUGGUUUUUAACAUUUAGCAGUAAAUAAGCUUGCCGUCUUUUCUUUAUUUCUUUCUUUUCUUUUUCUCUUAUUUUUUCAUUUUUAUUUUUAAAAAUAAAAAAUUGGUGUUGGGUUGCCAUUGCCAAUCCCGAGAGCUCUUGUUUCAUGUAUAUGCAUAUGGGCAUGCCUGAAGUUGAUCCUUCUCUUGAAACUGGCUUCUAAGAAUGUGUUUGUUAUGUAGUGAGUUUCUAUUGAAGUUGAUCCAAGAUUUUGCAACAGCAAUUUCUUAACUUAUGAAGCCUUAUUUUGCUAUUGAGGAUCGUUUUUAUCUAUUAUUUCCAUUGCACGACUAAGAUUGUACAAUUAAAGUGAACUAAUUGUACAAUUUGACUAUUAGAUUAGUGUAGUUCAUUAAUCCUAUACUUUUAUUUCUAUACAUGGCAGAAUAUCUGUGUUUUAUGCUAGGUAUACCAACACACACACACACACACAC
rnacentral:misc_RNA from 1 species